rnacentral:rRNA from 1 species
GACGAACGCUGGCGGCGUGCUUAACACAUGCGAGUCGAACGGACAGGCCCUGCUUUUGUGGGGUGCUCGAGUGGCGAACGGGUGAGUAACACGUGAGUAACCUGCCCUUGAAUUUGGGAUAACUUCAGGAAACUGGGGCUAAUACCGGAUAGGAGCUCCUGCUGCAUGGUGGGGGUUGGAAAGUUUCGGCGGUUGGGGAUGGACUCGCGGCUUAUCAGCUUGUUGGUGGGGUAGUGGCUUACCAAGGCUUUGACGGGUAGCCGGCCUGGGAGGGUGACCGGCCACAUUGGGACUGAGAGACGGCCCAGACUCCUACGGGAGGCAGCAGUGGGGAAUAUUGCACAAUGGGCGGAAGCCUGAUGCAGCAACGCCGCGUGCGGGAUGACGGCCUUCGGGUUGUAAACCGCUUUCGCCUGUGACGAAGCGUUAGUGACGGUAAUGGGUAAAGAAGCACCGGCUAACUACGUG